GUGGGAUAUGGUGAUAUGAAGCCCAUCACGGUGGGUGGCAAGAUUGUGGGUUCGCUGUGCGCCAUCGCUGGAGUACUGACCAUCGCCCUGCCCGUACCCGUCAUUGUGUCCAAC
rfam:Astyanax mexicanus Tnplaced_Scaffold_44, whole genome shotgun sequence.